GGGAAGAUGGCUCAGUGGUUAAGAGCACUGGAUGUUCUUCCGGAGGACCCAGGUUCAAUUCCUAGCACCCA
rnacentral:tRNA from 1 species